UACGGAGGGUGCAAGCGUUAUCCGGAUUCACUGGGUUUAAAGGGUGCGUAGGCGGGCAGGUAAGUCAGUGGUGAAAUCUCCGAGCUUAACUCGGAAACUGCCUUUGAUACUAUCUGUCUUGAAUAUUGUGGAGGUAAGCGGAAUAUGUCAUGUAGCGGUGAAAUGCUUAGAGAUGACAUAGAACACCCAUUGCGAAGGCAGCUUACUACGCAUAUAUUGACGCUGAGGCACGAAAGCGUGGGGAUCAAACAGG
rnacentral:rRNA from 1 species